rnacentral:tRNA from 1 species
CGCGGGGUGGAGCAGUGGCAGCUCGGGUGGCUCAUAACCAUCAGGUCGGCGGUUCGAAUCCGCCCCCCGCAA